rnacentral:rRNA from 1 species
AGUGAACGCUGGCGGUAGGCCUAAACAUUGAAGGCGGAAGGGAAGACAAGAAGAAGUUGGUCUUAAGGGGGGGGGAGGGGGGGAGGGGGGGGGAUAAAACGGGAACUAAUUUUUCGGUGGGGGUAAAGGAAGGGAAAUUAAGGUAAUAACGGAUACGGCCUAAGGGGGGAAAGAGGGGGACCUUGGGACUUGGCGGGUUUAAUGGACCGGUGUCGGAUUAGCUAGGUUGCGGGGUAAAGGCCCACCCAGGCGACGAUCCGUAGCUGGUCUGAGAGGAUGAUCAGCCACACUGGAACUGAGACACGGUCCAGACUCCUACGGGAGGCAGCAGUGGGGAAUAUUGGACAAUGGGCGCAAGCCUGAUCCAGCCAUACCGCGUGGGUGAAGAAGGCCUUCGGGUUGUAAAGCCCUUUUGUUGGGAAAGAAAAGCAGCAGGUUAAUACCCCGCUGUUCUGACGGUACCCAAAGAAUAAGCACCGGCUAACUUCGCG